rnacentral:rRNA from 1 species
GUGGGGAAUAUUGGACAAUGGGCGAAAGCCUGAUCCAGCCAUGCCGCGUGAGUGAAGAAGGUCUUCGGAUUGUAAAGCACUUUAAGUUGGGAGGAAGGGCAGUAAGUUAAUACCUUGCUGUUUUGACGUUACCGACAGAAUAAGCACCGGCUAACUUCGUGCCAGCAGCCGCGGUAAUACGAAGGGUGCAAGCGUUAAUCGGAAUUACUGGGCGUAAAGCGCGCGUAGGUGGUUUUGUAAGUUGGAGGUGAAAUCCCCGGGCUCAACCUGGGAACUGCCUCCAAAACUGCAUGACUAGAGUACGGUAGAGGGUAGUGGAAUUUCCUGUGUAGCGGUGAAAUGCGUAGAUAUAGGAAGGAACACCAGUGGCGAAGGCGACUACCUGGACUGAUACUGACACUGAGGUGCGAAAGCGUGGGGAGCAAACAGGAUUAGAUACCCGUGUAGUCC